GUGAAGUGUCGUUGUGUUUUAUUCUGACGUAGGGGAAAUUAUUAUUAUUAUUGUUGUUAUUAUUUAUUAUUCAUUACAAAUCUGUGUGCUGCUGACCAACAUUGAGCUGAACAUGUGUCCUAAACUGUGUAGGCUGAUCCCAGUGAUGGUCUCACCUAUGCCUCCGUCUCCUUCUCUAAGAAGAAGAAGCAGAGCAGGGCUGAAGGACAGGGUCUGGGUGGUGAUGAUGAUGAUGAAGAAGUGACGUAUCACACUGUGAGAGCUCCUCCUUCCUCUGCCGCGGUCUCUGAUGAUGCCAGUGUCCUCUACGCCACUGUCAACACACACACACAACAUGGGAAAAACUAGAAGAAGCGAGACGCCACUCUUCCACGUGCUGUCCACGCCUCGUGGGUCACAGGGCUCGCUGCUCCCUUCUCUUGGGGAAGGAAUCCAGCACACAAAGACCAACCGGAGAACCCGGGCAAAGAAAGAAAACAGGUCUCCAAGCAAGCAAUCCUCUCCAAUCCAAACGGCAUUAAUUAACUUAAACUGUUGUACCUGUCCAGUUACCCCGCUCUUCUGAGCCGUCCGGGUCGCCGCUGCACCUCCUCUGCUGAUCCGGGGAGGGCUGCAGACUACCACAUGCCUCCUCCAAUACAUGUGGAGUCGCCAGCCGCUUCUUUUCACCUGAGAGUGAGGAGUUUCACCAGGAGGACGCAGCGCAUGGGAUGAUCACGCUAUUACCCCCAGUCCCCCCUCCCCCCUGAACAGGCGCCACGACUGACCAGAGGAGGCGCUAGUGCAGUGAACACCACACAUACCCACAUCCAGCUUCCCACCUGCAGACAUCUCCAAUUGUGUCUGUAGGGACCAAGCCGGAGGUAACAUGGGGAAUCGAACUGGCGAACCCUGUGUUGGUAGGCUACGGAAUAGACCACUACGCUACCCGGACGCCUCGAGUCCAAAGUUUUAAUCUGUGUGUUGAUGACCAGCUGUAGUAAAGGUUUCCAGCUGGCCCGCUACCAGCCAGCAGUAGCAGAGCACAGGGCUUACACACCGUAUUGCAGAAGUAGGACUGAUGUAGCAAGAAUACACAGCAUGAUAUCAAUAUCACAUUCCCAGCUGAAGAGCUCGGUUACAAUUCAGAACUCGUGUGUACAUAUUCUGCGGUGUGUUGUUGUCAAAUCUGACCAUUUGAGCCACCGUACUCCCCCCAGAGCAAAUAUGGUGUUGAGGCUUUGCUCAAGGGCACUUGUGGGGCAAUAAUGGUGAACAACAUCACUGACUUGAUAUUAGACGCCAUGCAGUCAUGACAUCUCUGCAUUGGUAGCUUCAUUCUUCUGACGAUGCUUCUGUCCACACUCACAACAUGUCAGUGGUUGGUCAACCUCUCCACUGCUGGUCUGUGGUCUGUAAUCCACGUUUGUC